GACACUUCUCAGGCAGUGCCAGAAGAGGGCGCUGUGUCCUGGGAGAGGGUGACUCAUCCUAGAGCUGCUACAGCACAAGAAGAAGUUGCAGAGGCCUCAGAUGCUAGUUCCYGCUCUCUUCAGCAUCCUCUCUUAGGUGCCUGGAGACGUCAACCGUGGAGCAAGACAACCUAGAGUACGCCAAGCAUGUAGGCCAUGUCUGUUCAAYGUCUGCCAGAAGCUCUCCCCCGACAGAGGACCCGUCAGCAAAGGUGAAGAGACGGAGAGACCCUGCUUUAGCCCAGGAGCACCCCCGAGGCUUUUAGGGGGUGUGUGUGUGACUGACUAUGUUUGUCCUCCACACACAGAUGUGCUGGAUGAGUUCAACAUGGAGCAUCUCUCAGCCAUCACGGAACCAUUUCUCAGCUAUUAGAUAGCUUUUUCCAGUCRAAAGUGUGCUCCCAAUGACCUCUUGACUCCGCCCCAUCCUUUUCCAGGAGAAAGUCCUGCACAUCAUUAAGGCCAUCUUCACGUUCAUGGGCGCCAACAUCACAUCUGGACGACGCCUAGCGCUUUCAGAUCAUCAACAGCACCACUAAGUCAACGAACUAGCGGCUGAUGCCUGCAGUGCUGCAGACUCUAGACAUCACCUCUUUCCUCUCUGCUAAUGAGGUCUACAUGUUGAGUGCCGUCACAGCCCUGCAACACGUCACUGAGACCCUGCCUCACUUCAUCAACCGGGACAAUAGGACACCGCUACAGCGUAAUGUUGCUCGACUGAGGCGGGUGGCAGAGAAGGCCACCACCACCCCAGAGCUGGCUGUGUGACUGGCCUCCCUCAGGACCACCGUGGCCACCAAGGUUCCCUCCCAGGGUCCUGCUGCCAACCCUCGAAAAAGUACUAGAAUAAGAUGGACUCCAAACAGCCAGCUUGUUCCCCUGAUGGGCAUCUUGAAAGAGCAGGUUGGUCACAUGGAGAAGGAUCAGCUGACCUCCCACCAAUCAGAGCUCACGUCCUUCCUGAUUUCUUUGGACUUCCGGGCCCAAC